rnacentral:rRNA from 1 species
UCUAGAAUGACUCUCGGCAACGGAUAUCUCGGCUCUNNNNUCGAUGAAGAACGCAGCGAAAUGCGAUACUUGGUGUGAAUUGCAGAAUCCCGUGAACCAUCGAGUCUUUGAACGCAAGUUGCGCCCGAAGCCAUCAGGCCGAGGGCACGCCUGCCUGGGUGUCGCACA